AUGGACUCGCGGCCUAUCAGCUUGUUGGUGAGGUAAUGGCUCACCAAGGCGACGACGGGUAGCCGGCCUGAGAGGGUGACCGGCCACACUGGGACUGAGACACGGCCCAGACUCCUACGGGAGGCAGCAGUGGGGAAUAUUGCACAAUGGGCGCAAGCCCUGAUGCAGCAACGCCGCGUGAGGGAUGACGGCCUUCGGGUUGUAAACCUCUUUUAGUAGGGAAGAAGCGAAAGUGACGGUACCUGCAGAAAAAGCACCGGCUAACUACGUG
rnacentral:rRNA from 1 species